rnacentral:rRNA from 1 species
AUACAGAAGCCUCAAGCGUUACCCGGAUUCACUGGGCGUAAAGGGUGCGUAGGCGGUUAUAUUAGUCUUGUGUUAAAACUUCAGGCUCAACCUGAAGAUCGCAUAGGAAACGGUAUAGCUAGAAGAAGUCAGAGGUAAACAGAACUCAUGGUGUAGGGGUGAAAUCCGUUGAUAUCAUGGGGAAUACCAAAUGCGAAGGCAGUUUACUGGGACUUUCUUGACGCUGAGGCACGAAAGCGUGGGUAGCGAACGGGAUUAGAAACCCCAGUAGUCC